UACGAAGGGGGCUAGCGUUGUUCGGAUUUACUGGGCGUAAAGCGCACGUAGGCGGAUUGGUCAGUUAGAGGUGAAAUCCCGAAGCUCAACUUCGGAACUGCCUUUAAUACUGCCAGUCUCGAGUCCGGAAGAGGUAAGUGGAACUCCUAGUGUAGAGGUGGAAUUCGUAGAUAUUAGGAAGAACACCAGUGGCGAAGGCGGCUUACUGGUCCGGAACUGACGCUGAGGUGCGAAAGCGUGGGGAGCAAACAGG
rnacentral:rRNA from 1 species